UUCCAGACUCCUACGGGAGGCAGCAGUGAGGAAUAUUGGUCAAUGGUCGGGAGACUGAACCAGCCAAGCCGCGUGAGGGAGGAAGGUACAGAGUAUCGUAAACCUCUUUUGUCAGGGAACAAAGACUGGGACGCGUCCCCGGAUGAGUGUACCUGAAGAAAAAGCAUCGGCUAACUCCGUGCCAGCAGCCGCGGUAAUGCGGAGGAUGCGAGCGUUAUCCGGAUUUAUUGGGUUUAAAGGGUGCGCAGGCGGCACGGCAAGCCGGCGGUCAAAUCGCGGGGCUCAACCCCGCCCAGCCGUCGGAACUGCCGGGCUAGAGUGGGCGAGAAGUGCGCGGAAUGCGUGGUGUAGCGGUGAAAUGCAUAGAUAUCACGCAGAACUCCGAUUGCGAAGGCAGCAUACCGGCGCCCAACUGACGCUGAAGCACGAAAGCGUGGGUAUCGAACAGGAUUAGAUACCCCAGUA
rnacentral:rRNA from 1 species